AUGGAUGGAGAUCAAUCUCCCCCGUGCCUCUCAGUUCCAAUUCCUAUUUCCUCUAACAGCAAGAAAAUCAUCCAUAUAUCUAGAGAGCGAAGAUCAUCAGUUAUGAACUAUGUAGGCUUGAAAGGCGCCGAGAACGAUUUUAUGCCGAUCAGGCAAAGUCUGUUAACCACUUUAUUUGUCCAAGCUCACUUGGUGGAGGAGAUGGCGAUCGAACUGGACGGGGAGGGACCUUUGUGUGCCAGCAACCAUGGGCACCGCUAUAUGCACGACACUAUGCACACGAUUCACAGACGACAAUUAAAUCAGUCCGUUGAUGCAUGUGAACAGACACCAGCACAGCCAUAG
rnacentral:rRNA from 1 species